UAUAUAUGUUAUAAGAAAGCCUGAAUGGAGUAUGUGUCUCAAGCAAUACCAGAGUCUCUCUAUACUUAUACUAGCCAAUAAUCUAAAUGGGCUGCCACUAUAGGUGCUUCCUCCAUAACGACAGAGGGAAACACCGUCACGUGAGCACAUGUAGUUCAUAUGAAAGCAUUAAAAUUCACCAUGCAUAAACAUGAUGUUCUUCUAUAAUGCGCAUUUAAUUGGACCAUCGCCUAGAGAGCAACGCCUGCCGAAUGGCAUCAUGGGAAGCAGCACCAAGGG